CGACGUGAGGAACCUGCCUUUCAGAGGGGGACAACAGUUGGAAACGACUGCUAAUACCGCAUAAUAUAUGUUUGUCGCAUGGCAGAUAUAUCAAAGAUUUAUCGCUGAGAGAUGGCCUCGCGUCUGAUUAGCUAGUUGGUAGGGUAACGGCCUACCAAGGCGACGAUCAGUAGCCGGACUGAGAGGUUGGCCGGCCACAUUGGGACUGAGAUACGGCCCAGACUCCUACGGAAGGCAGCAG
rnacentral:rRNA from 1 species